GACGAACGCUGGCGGCGUGCUUAACACAUGCAAGUCGAACGAUGAACCCGGAGCUUGCUCCGGUGGAUUAGUGGCGAACGGGUGAGUAACACGUGAGUAACCUGCCCUUGACUCUGGGAUAACUGCGGGAAACUGUAGCUAAUACCGGAUACGACCCUCGGCGGCAUCGCCAGGGGGUGGAAAGAAUUUCGGUCAAGGAUGGACUCGCGGCCUAUCAGCUAGUUGGUGAGGUAACGGCUCACCAAGGCGACGACGGGUAGCCGGCCUGAGAGGGUGAUCGGACACACUGGGACUGAGACACGGCCCAGACUCCUACGGGAGGCAGCAGUAGGGAAUCUUCCGCAAUGGACGAAAGUCUGAUGCAGCAACGCCGCGUGAGGGAUGACGGCCUUCGGGUUGUAAACCUCUUUUAGUAGGGAAGAAGCGAAAGUGACGGUACCUGCAGAAAAAGCACCGGCUAACUACGUGCCAGCCGCCGCAGUAA
rnacentral:rRNA from 1 species